rnacentral:rRNA from 1 species
AACGCGAAGAACCUUACCUGGGCUCGAAAUGCUAUGGACCAGUUGGUGAAAGCCAGCCUUCCCUUAAAAGACCGUAGUAUAGGUGCUGCAUGGCUGUCGUCAGCUCGUGUCGUGAGAUGUUGGGUUAAGUCCCGCAACGAGCGCAACCCUUGUCCUGUGUUGCCAUACCGAAAGGUGGAACUCGCAGGAGACCGCCAGGGAUAACCUGGAGGAAGGUGGGGAUGACGUCAAGUCCGCAUGGCCCUUACGUCCUGGGCUACACACGUGCUACAAUGGCCGGUACAACGAGCAGCAAGACCGCGAGGUCAAGCGAAUCUCUUAAAGCCGGUCUCAGUUCGGAUCGAAGGCUGCAACUCGCCUUCGUGAAGUCGGAAUCGCUAGUAACUGCAGAUCAGCUACGCUGCGGUGAAUACGUUCCCGGGCCUUGUACACACCGAUAGC